CCUACGGGAGGCAGCAGUAAGGAAUAUUGGUCAAUGGAGGCAACUCUGAACCAGCCAUGCCGCGUGCAGGAUGACGGCCCUAUGGGUUGUAAACUGCUUUUAUACAAGAGAAAACCCUGGUACGUGUACCAGGUUGAUAGUAUUGUAAGAAUAAGCAUCGGCUAACUUCGUGCCAGCAGCCGCGGUAAGACGAAGGAUGCAAGCGUUAUCCGGAUUCAUUGGGUUUAAAGGGUGCGUAGGCGGACUGAUAAGUCAGUGGUGAAAUCUCUUUGCUUAACAAAGAAACUGCCAUUGAUACUGUCGGUCUAGAGUAUAGAUGACGUUGGCGGAAUAUGACAUGUAGUGGUGAAAUACUUAGAUAUGCCAUAGAACACCGAUUGCGAAGGCAGCUAACGAAACUAUAACUGACGCUGAGGCACGAAAGUGCGGGGAUCAAACAGGAUUAGAUACCCUGGUAGUCCGCACCGUAAACGAUGAUUACUCGUUGUUGGCGAUAUGACAGUCAGCGACCAAGCGAAAGCGAUAAGUAAUCCACCUGGGGAGUACGCCGGCAACGGUGAAACUCAAAUGAAUUGACGG
rnacentral:rRNA from 1 species